AUUGAACGCUGGCGGCAUGCUUUACACAUGCAAGUCGAACGGCAGCGCGGGCUUCGGCCUGGCGGCGAGUGGCGAACGGGUGAGUAAUGCAUCGGAACGUGCCCAGUAGUGGGGGAUAGCCCGGCGAAAGCCGGAUUAAUACCGCAUACGACCUGAGGGUGAAAGCGGGGGACCGAAAGGCCUCGCGCUAUUGGAGCGGCCGAUGUCGGAUUAGCUAGUUGGUGGGGUAAAAGCUUACCAAGGCGACGAUCCGUAGCUGGUCUGAGAGGACGACCAGCCACACUGGGACUGAGACACGGCCCAGACUCCUACGGGAGGCAGCAGUGGGGAAUUUUGGACAAUGGGGGCAACCCUGAUCCAGCCAUGCCGCGUGCGGGAAGAAGGCCUUCGGGUUGUAAACCGCUUUUGUUCGGGAAGAAAUCCUCUGGGCUAAUACCCCGGGGGGAUGACGGUACCGGAAGAAUAAGCACCGGCUAACUACGUG
rnacentral:rRNA from 1 species